rnacentral:rRNA from 1 species
UGAGGAAUAUUGCACAAUGGGCGCAAGCCUGAUGCAGCAACGCCGCGUGCGGGACGAAGGCCUUCGGGUCGUAAACCGCUUUUCUGGGGGAAGAGCAAGGACGGUACCUCAGGAAUAAGUCUCGGCUAACUACGUGCCAGCAGCCGCGGUAAUACGUAGGGGGCAAGCGUUGUCCGGAUUUACUGGGUGUAAAGGGCGCGCAGGCGGGAUAAAAAGUCAGUGGUGAAAUCCUACAGCUUAACUGUAGAACUGCCUUUGAUACUUUUAUUCUUGAGUUCGGGAGAGAGAGACGGAAUUCCGGGUGUAGUGGUGAAAUACGUAGAUAUCUGGAAGAACACCAGUUGCGAAGGCGGUCUCUUGGUCCGACACUGACGCUGAGGCGCGAAAGCGUGGGGAGCAAACA